CCAGACUCCUACGGGAGGCAGCAGUGAGGAAUAUUGGUCAAUGGGUGCGAGCCUGAACCAGCCAAGUCGCGUGAGGGAAGACGGUCCUAUGGAUUGUAAACCUCUUUUGUCGGGGAGCAAAGAGAGUCACGUGUGGCUCAUUGAGAGUACCCGAAGAAAAAGCAUCGGCUAACUCCGUGCCAGCAGCCGCGGUAAUACGGAGGAUGCGAGCGUUAUCCGGAUUUAUUGGGUUUAAAGGGUGCGUAGGCGGACAGUCAAGUCAGCGGUAAAAAUGCGGUGCUCAACGCCGUACAGCCGUUGAAACUGGCAGUCUUGAGUGGGCGAGAAGUAUGCGGAAUGCGUGGUGUAGCGGUGAAAUGCAUAGAUAUCACGCAGAACUCCGAUUGCGAAGGCAGCAUACCGGCGCCCUACUGACGCUGAGGCACGAAAGCGUGGGGAUCGAACAGGAUUAGAUACCCGCGUA
rnacentral:rRNA from 1 species